CCUACGGGCGGCUGCAGUGGGGAAUAUUGGACAAUGGGGGCAACCCUGAUCCAGCCAUGCCGCGUGUGUGAAGAAGGCCCUCGGGUUGUAAAGCACUUUCAGUGAGGAAGAACGCCUGGUGGUUAAUACCCAUCAGGAAAGACAUCACUCACAGAAGAAGCACCGGCUAACUCCGUGCCAGCAGCCGCGGUAAUACGGAGGGUGCGAGCGUUAAUCGGAAUUACUGGGCGUAAAGCGCGCGUAGGUGGCUUGAUAAGCCGGUUGUGAAAGCCCCGGGCUCAACCUGGGAACGGCAUCCGGAACUGUCAAGCUAGAGUGCAGGAGAGGAAGGUAGAAUUCCCGGUGUAGCGGUGAAAUGCGUAGAGAUCGGGAGGAAUACCAGUGGCGAAGGCGGCCUUCUGGACUGACACUGACACUGAGGUGCGAAAGCGUGGGUAGCAAACAGGAUUAGAUACCCUGGCAGUC
rnacentral:rRNA from 1 species